ensembl:snRNA U6 U6 spliceosomal RNA
GCACUCACUUUGGCAGCACAUACACUAAAAUUAGAAUGAUACAGAGUAGAUUAGCAUGGCCCUUGUGCAAGGAUGACAUGCAAAUUCAUUAUGCAUUCCAUAUUUUU